AAAAAAUUAUUAUAAGAAGUAUUUAUAAUUGCAAAUUAUAAGGUUUAUUUUUUUU
rnacentral:tRNA from 1 species